rnacentral:rRNA from 1 species
UACGUAGGGACCGAGCGUUGUCCGGAUUCAUUGGGCGUAAAGAGCUCGUAGGCGGCUGCUCAAGUCGAAUGUGAAAACUCGAGGCUCAACCUCGAGCCUGCACUCGAUACUGGGCGGCUAGAGUCUGGUAGGGGGAUCUGGAAUUCCUGGUGUAGCGGUGGAAUGCGCAGAUAUCAGGAGGAACACCAGUGGCGAAGGCGCUCUGCUAGGCCGUAACUGACACUGAGGGACGAAAGCUAGGGGAGCGAAUGGG